AUGCAUCACCCCCUCUCUCUCUCACACACACACACACACACACACUUGCUCUCACAUGGUUCAAAAACUAUCCUAGAUCACACAAGUCAGUCUCUUACCAUUGUUCUGGCAGCACAAACUUUAACUUCUGCUCACAACUUGGGAAACCAGCAAUGCUGCGAGCGGUCUGCUAGCUUCCUGUCACACUCAGACAACGCAGACAGUCAUACAAGAUCAAGGCAAUACUUCCUGUCACAUCUCCAUUUUACGUUUGAAUUACAAUUAUGAACAUUUCAGCCAGCAUGGAUUGUAAAUGUAUUAAAAAAUGAAAAAUUGUGUCAGAAUAACAUUUUAGUAUUCUAAAAAGUAUUUUAUGUUCAAAUUGAGCAGCUUCCCAAAUAUAUUAAUGCCUUGGAUUGAUUUUUAAAGCAUAAUUAUUGGCAAUCCUCGAUAAUUUUGAAUGAGCUAAACCUGAAAAGCCACUGCAAAAUUAAACUGAAUGGAUAACAUUUUAUGUUAAGCCAUCUAAAGGUUUAGCUAGAAACACCAUGCAUUGUUAUUUAGUUUUCUAAUUUUCUUUUUUCUAGAUCCUGAAUAUAAAUUUAUGAGUGGAUCUUCUUCCAAUGAAAAAUUAACAACUGCUUUAAAGUACAAGGAGUUUGACUGCAAGAUUCUGCCUGUGACACCAAGCCAAAGGGACUUUUCUACUCAACAGGGAAAGGAAAAGGAAAAGGAGGUAAAAUAUAUUUCAAAAUAUAUUCUGUCUCAGUUUUGUAGGAUUUACAGCUUGAUAACUUUGAGAGGAUAUCUAGUGCUCUUGGAAAGGAAUAGUAUUUAGACAUGGUUUAAACGGCCCACAUACUAUUUAGCGUCAACCUGUUGUUGCCUCCGAAAAAAUGACAUUUAUUUGCUGGCAUCAUCUAGUCUCCCUUGCACACAAGGUAUUGUUUUAUAUGACAAACCACACCCAUGUGGCGCCGAAGUAGGUGUAUAGGUUAGAAUUUCUUUCAAAUAAAAAAUAAUCCCAAUCAGAAGAGCUACUAAAUUAAUCGUAAAAUUAACCUCUUAGGAAUUACAUUUAUUCACUUUUUUUCUAAAUGAGAAACUUCAUAACACUCUGUAGGCCUACAGUAAAUAUGAAGCUACAGCCAGCUAGCUUAAUCUUAGCAUAAAGACUGGAAACGAGGAAACGUAACAAAGCCUGGCCUGUGUACAAAAAUCAAAGUGUAAAAACACGCUUAGCGGUUUUACAGGGGGUUAUGUGCUGGAAUAUUUAUUUGAGCCUGGAGACUUUGGACAGAGCCAGGCUAGCUAUUUAUGUAAGCUAAGCUAACUAGCUGCUUCACCUAUUAACCGCACAGACAAGUUAAUGGCAGGAAAGCAAAUAUGUGUAUGUCCCAAAAUGUCUAACUAUUUAUUCUGACCCAAGAGACAGUGCCACUGAAUACAAACACAUUCAGAGAAAUCA
rnacentral:lncRNA from 1 species